UUUCAUGAAAAUUAUUAAUUGCAGGUUGACGUUAUGAUUUCGCCAGGAACCCAUGUUUCAGAGACAGCUGUGAACAAACAGCUAGCUGAUAAAGAAAGAGUUGCAGCUGCCCUC
rnacentral:lncRNA from 1 species